AAGCAGAUUCUGCUUUGCUCUAUUUGUGAAAGACAACUGGAUGAGUGGAGACUGCUAUGCGAUGAGACUACAAAUGUAUCUGAAAUUAGAGGCAGAGAUAAACCGUACCUCAUUUGUGCUGCUUCUGGUUGGACAGAGCCAUCACUGGAACAAGCACAGGACUCAUCUACUGGAAUGAAGUCGAAAAUCUACUCUGGUGUAUGGCGGUUUUGCUUGCAUUUAUAGCUGUGCAACAUGUAUGUAUAGUGCUGCAGAGGCCAGAAGAGGGCAUAGAAUCCUCUGGAACUGGACUAACAGAGGCCAGUCCAGAACCCUGAACAGAAGAAAAAGGCAUUAUGUGUCAACCAAACUCACACAACUAGCCAUCCGACCAACUAAUCAUUUACUAGAAUAUUCAUCCAGAAGCUCGCUGUGGAUCCCAAAUAAAUUUUGCACCAUGAAAUAACACUGCAAGGAAUGUAUCUUUGAAAAGCAUUUUUUUUUAAAAGUUUUUAUCCCUGACAACAAAACAGUAACACCCUCUGGCCAAAUGUAACAAUUGGAAACUUUUGUAUUUAAGAUAAAAUAACACAAAUUCUAUUCUAUGCCUAAUGUGAUGAAAGUCUAAAUAUUUUUAUUAAUAUUUUCUGCAAUUAUAAAUGUGUUUAUUGUCAGGUCUAUAAAAAUUAAAGAAGACUGCUAAAAAUAAUAUUCGCUAGUAGUAUAAAAAGAUGCCUUGACUUUUCUUUAUUCUUUUAAUAAUAAAGAUUAUCUUUAAAACC